AGCUUUCGGGCUCCGACCGGCGUACGGGUGCGUAACGCGUAUACAAUCUGCCUUUCACAUAGGGAUAGCCCGAAGAAAUUUGGAUUAAUACCUAAUGGUAUAUAGAUGUGGCAUCACCUUUAUAUUAAAGCUGAGGCGGUGAAAGAUGAGUAUGCGUUCUAUUAGCUAGUUGGAGAGGUAACGGCUCCCCAAGGCGACGAUAGAUAGGGGUUCUGAGAGGGAUAUCCCCCACACUGGUACUGAGAUACGGACCAGACUCCUACGGGAGGCAGCAGUGAGGAAUAUUGGACAAUGGUCGGAAGACUGAUCCAGCCAUGCCGCGUGCAGGAAGACGGCCUUAUGGGUUGUAAACUGCUUUUGCAGGGGAAGAACAAGGAGUACGUGUACUUUGAUGACGGUACUCUGCGAAUAAGCAUCGGCUAACUCCGUGCCAGCAGCCGCGGUAAUACGGAGGAUGCGAGCGUUAUCCGGAAUCAUUGGGUUUAAGGGUCCGUAGGCGGGCUAAUAAGUCGGAGGUGAAAGCGCUCAGCUCAACUGAGCAACUGCCUUUGAAACUGUUAGUCUUGAAUGGUUGUGAAGUAGUUGGAAUGUGUAGUGUAGCGGUGAAAUGCUUAGAUAUUACACAGAACACCGAUAGCGAAGGCAUAUUACUAACAAUUAAUUGACGCUGAUGGACGAAAGCGUGGGGAGCGAACAGGAUUAGAUAACAUGGUAGUCCACGCUGUAAACGAUGGAUACUAGCUGUUUGGUUGCAAGACUGAGUGGCUAAGCGAAAGUGAUAAGUAUCCCACCUGGGGAGUACGCA
rnacentral:rRNA from 1 species